GUGUCAGCAGCCGCGGUAAUACGUAGGGUGCGAGCGUUAAUCGGAAUUACUGGGCGUAAAGGGUGCGCAGGCGGUAUGCUAAGACAGGCGUGAAAGCCCCGGGCUUAACCUGGGAGGUGCGCUGGUGACUGGCACACUAGAGUGCGGCAGAGGGGGGUGGAAUUCCACGUGUAGCAGUGAAAUGCGUAGAGAUGUGGAGGAACACCGAUGGCGAAGGCAGCCCCCUGGGCUAGCACUGACGCUCAGGCACGAAAGCGUGGGGAGCAAACAGGAUUAGAUACCCCAGUAGUCC
rnacentral:rRNA from 1 species